AACGAACGCUGGCGGCAGGCUUAACACAUGCAAGUCGAGCGCCCCGCAAGGGAAGCGGCAGACGGGUGAGUAACGCGUGGGAAUCUACCCAUCUCUACGGAAUAACGCAUGGAAACGUGUGCUAAUACCGUAUACGUCCUUCGGGAGAAAGAUUUAUCGGAGAUGGAUGAGCCCGCGUUGGAUUAGCCAGUUGGUGGGGUAAAGGCCUACCAAGGCGACGAUCCAUAGCUGGUCUGAGAGGAUGAUCAGCCACACUGGGACUGAGACACGGCCCAGACUCCUACGGGAGGCAGCAGGGGGGAAUAUUGGACAAUGGGCGCAAGCCUGAUCCAGCCAUGCCGCGUGAGUGAUGAAGGCCCGAGGGUUGUAAAGCUCUUACCCCGGUGAAGAUAAUGACGGUAACCGGAGAAGAAGCCCCGGCUAACUUCGUGCCAGCCGCCGCCGUAACAC
rnacentral:rRNA from 1 species